rnacentral:rRNA from 1 species
UACGGAGGGGUGCAAGCGUUGUCCGGAUUUAUUGGGUUUAAAGGGUGCGUAGGCGGCCGAUUAAGUCUGGGGUGAAAGCCCGUUGCUCAACAACGGAACUGCCCUGGAAACUGGUCGGCUUGAGUACAGACGAGGUUGGCGGAAUGGAUGCUGUAACGGUGAAAUGCAUAGAUAGCAUCCAAGAACCCCGAUUGCGAAGGCAGCUGACUAGGCUGUAACUGACGCUGAGGCACGAAAGCGUGGGGAGCGAACGAGGA